UACGUAGGGCGCAAGCGUUGUCCGGAAUUAUUGGGCGUAAAGAGCUCGUAGGCGGUUUGUCGCGUCUGCUGUGAAAACCUAAGGCUCAACCUUGGGCUUGCAGUGGGUACGGGCAGACUAGAGUGCGGUAGGGGUGACUGGAAUUCCUGGUGUAGCGGUGGAAUGCGCAGAUAUCAGGAGGAACACCGAUGGCGAAGGCAGGUCACUGGGCCGCAACUGACGCUGGAGGAGCGAAAGCAUGGGAGCGAACAGG
rnacentral:rRNA from 1 species